rnacentral:rRNA from 1 species
GACGAACGCUGGCGGCGUGCUUAACACAUGCAAGUCGAGCGGAAAGGCCCUUCGGGGUACUCGAGCGGCGAACGGGUGAGUAACACGUGAGUAACCUGCCCCAGACUUUGGGAUAACCCUCGGAAACGGGGGCUAAUACCGGAUACGACACAGCUUCGCAUGGGGUCUGUGUGGAAAGUUUUUCGGUUUGGGAUGGGCUCGCGGCCUAUCAGCUUGUUGGUGGGGUGAUGGCCUACCAAGGCGACGACGGGUAGCCGGCCUGAGAGGGCGACCGGCCGCACUGGGACUGAGACACGGCCCAGACUCCUACGGGAGGCAGCAGUGGGGAAUAUUGCACAAUGGGCGGAAGCCUGAUGCAGCGACGCCGCGUGAGGGAUGACGGCCUUCGGGUUGUAAACCUCUUUCAGCAGGGACGAAGCGUAAGUGACGGUACCUGCAGAAGAAGCGCCGGCCAACUACGUG